rnacentral:lncRNA from 1 species
UUUAAAGAAUCUAUUAAUUAUGGAGGCAACAAUUACUUAACCAUAAAUGAUUACAAUUUUCACAUAAGAAAUAAAAAUUACUGAAAGCAAUUCAUGUGGUAAAAGCAGUAUUAUGUUUAAUAAAUUUACAGUUCCUGCUCAAAAAGAAAAGAAAUUAACUCGGGACGCCAAAAGAAGCGUCAAGAUGCCACAUGUAUGGUGCACCACACCGGCCAAAUCCUCUCUGAAUACAGGGCGGAUCUCAAAGCAAGGAGUGGUAGUCAAAGCGGUUGACACCACUGUAUGAAAAGCCCACAGUUGGUGAGAACUUACGUCUUUACCAUUUUGGGGAGAUGUCCAGAAGAAAGGGGAAGUCUGGCUAUUACAAGGAAGCCAAUGUCGUUCUGAAGAGAAGCCCACUUUAAAUAACCACAAUAAGAAUGCAGGACAACUUUCAAGAUAACACCAACGGCUUUAAAAUGGGAACCGACUUGUACAAAGUGCAAGAUGGAGUAUACACGUUCUCCCAAAGGACGAAAAUUUUGACAUGUGGUACUUUUAAUUACGAGAUGCUGCAAGCAUUCCAAUAUCCUCCAGUUACGACCAUAGCUGAAUUGAAGUCAGUUCAAGGAAGAGUAGUUGAGGUCUCAGAACACAGUAGUGUUGAAUUAAAGACAGUAACUCGGACACAGAAACCAUCCAACUGAAGCUCUGGGGAGAACAUGGAAAAACGGAGUUGCCGUUAACUGAAGUUGUGAAUGUGCAAUGUGUGACACUGAAGGAAUUUCAGCAAAAGCUGGAUUUAAAUUUCACACCAAAAACAAAUGGUUGUGGAACAACUUACCCAGAGAAUUACGGGAUUUAAGACUGAGCGUCAUAUUGCGUGUUCACGACAAUCCAAUGGUCAUGGCGAAUGAUCAGCUCUUUCAGUGUGACCGUGAAACAAUUGAAUCUGUUUCCGGACAAGGAAGUGCCGAGCGGCCUUUAUCACCUUUGUAAGAGGUGAUGUUCUGAUUUCACCAGUACCAGAAGAUGAGCGAGCGAGGUUUUUAACGCCGUUUUUAGCAACAGUCGAGCAAUAUCACGGCGGGGACACCAGAAAUUAGAAGCGUAAAUAUGUACAAAUUAAAUAAAUCAUGACAAUUA